GGGGGCAAGCGUUGUUCGGAAUUACUGGGCGUAAAGGGCGCGUAGGCGGUUUGCUAAGUUGAAUGUGAAAACUCUGGGCUUAACCCAGAGCCUGCAUUCAAUAAUGGCAGGCUAGAGUUCUGGAGGGGAUAGCGGAAUUCCUGGUGUAGCGGUGAAAUGCGUAGAUAUCAGGAGGAACACCGGUGGCGAAGGCGGCUAUCUGGACAGAGUCUGACGCUGAGGCGCGAAAGCUAGGGGAGCAAACAGG
rnacentral:rRNA from 1 species